rnacentral:rRNA from 1 species
UACGUAGGGGGCUAGCGUUGUCCGGAUUUAUUGGGCGUAAAGAGCGUGUAGGCGGCCAGGUAGGUCUGGUGUGAAAACUCGAGGCUUAACCUCGAGAUGUCAUCGGAAACCAUUUGGCUAGAGUCCGGAAGAGGAGAGUGGAAUUCCUGGUGUAGCGGUGAAAUGCGCAGAUAUCAGGAAGAACACCAAUGGCGAAAGCAGCUCUCUGGGACGGUACUGACGCUGAGACGCGAAAGCAUGGGGAGCGAACAGG